CAAGUAAAUAAACUCCGAGUCCCGGAUUUCUGACGUAUGGAAGCCGAUAAGCAUACGGGAAGGCGGGACCAAUGGGUAGCGCGGGUAACGGUGCUGCCUGCCUGAUUGCGAAGGAGUCCAUUAUUAUGCGG
rnacentral:ncRNA from 2 species